AAGAAUUUGCUGUAGAAAUGUUCUACAUCGGGGAUUAGAAUAUUCAAGUGGAGACUGUUGGCCAGUUAAGUUCAGCGGAUGCAAGUCAGUGAAAGUGUGAUUAGUGGUGCGACUAGUGGUGCGAUUAAAGUCAAUCUAUACAUUUUUUGUAUUAGUUCGUGAGCCGCAACGUUACAUUAGGUUCGCAAGUGGUUAGCACGUGCUUUCUGCUGACCAAGGGCAAAGGCUUAGCCAAUUUCAAGCUUUUGAAGUCGCACACCGAUCAAUAAAAUCUAGUUCGCAGAAAAAAGAUCAGGUGAAAACCCACUGUUCAACGUGGGAGCGAGUCUGGAGCGGUUUCUGGAGCGGCGCGAGACCGAAUUCGCGGCUCGAAACAUCCGUUCGAGGUUAGGUUGAACCACCCUAACCACGUGACUGGGCGUCACUCAUUGGGAAAACCGACGCCACCCCGUAGUGAACGCUGGGAUCUCCACAAAAACAUCGCGCGAAGCAAGCACCCGACGCUCGCAAGCAACUGGAGCGCACCUCGUGGCGGUGCUACGAACUAACGCACUGCUCGACCGGAAGUGUGUCUCCGCUACGUCAAUCGCCAACCUCCAAAAGUGUGGUGAAAAACGUCGCCGCGGGAGUGUCCGUGCUGUUGGAUUACGCACGCGCGUGGUGAGUCCACCUGGUCGACCGACCGUACGCGUGAACGUGGGACUACGCGAAAACUGUCUACAAAGAACCUGUUCAUGCUUCCUGUCCUGCCGAUCCUGCCAGCCAGCUGAAUCGCGGUGGAACCGCCAAACAAG